CUCAGUCUCCAUAAUUUUAGUUUCUUUUAAAAAAUAUUUUAUUUUAUUUGUGUUCGUGUGUACAAGUGCCUGUGGCAGCUAGAAGAGAGUAUUGGAUUCCUGUGAGCCACAGUUACAGGAAGUUGUGAACUGUCUGCCAUCGGUGCUGGGAACAGAAUGGUGACUUUAACCUGGCAAUGAAAGAGAAGAAAAAGAAAGUUGAAAGAGAAAAUACACAUGAAGUGAAACAAAAAAUUAAAGAGAGCCCCAAAAGGCUCAGACCAAGAAAUGAAAUGGCUGAAGACAGAUCCUAGAUGAGAUAAACGAGAUGAGAGGAAAUGGAACUACUCUCAUAUAAAGGUCCUUCGGGAUUCAAGACCUCUUGCUGGGAACAGCUUGUGGACUUUGCGUGGUGACAGAUAAGCAAUCAAAACAGAAAAAAAGUUACACUUCAGCACUUACUGAGGCCAUGUGCCUUCACCUUUGUCUUUAGAUACCUACAUCACAGGUCUGAAACAUAUAACUAAUGUUCCCCAGUAGAAAGAUGGCACUGUAAAUGCAUUCAAAAGAUUUAUGUUACUAUAUACAUGUAAUAGAUUGUAAACAGACUCCAUACAUUUUAAAGCUUUUUUCCACUGUGGGUUAUAUUUAACAUCUGUAAUUUAUACUGACAGAAAUGAAUUGAUCUUUAGCUAAAGGUCCUCAAUUAUGCCUCAAAUUAAAACUUCAACAUUAAAUAAUGUUACAGGACUUGAAA